rnacentral:tRNA from 1 species
GGAAAGGUGGCAGAGUGGUCGAAUGCGCUGGACUCGAAAUCCAGUAUGGGGCUACGCUUCAUCGAGGGUUCGAAUCCCUCCCUUUCCG